UGCAGUCGACGAGAGCCAUCCUUCGGGAUGGUGGGCAGUGGCGAACGGGUGAGUAACGCGUGGGAACCUGCCCUUCGGUACGGGACAACCGCGGGAAACUGCGGCUAAUACCGUAUAUUCCCUGAGGGGGAAAGAUUUAUCGCCGAGGGAUGGGCCCGCGUCCGAUUAGCUUGUUGGUGAGGUAAAAGCCCACCAAGGCGACGAUCGGUAGCUGGUUUGAGAGGAUGAUCAGCCACACUGGGACUGAGAUACGGCCCAGACUCCUACGGGAGGCAGCAGUGGGGAAUAUUGGACAAUGGGGGCAACCCUGAUCCAGCCAUGCCGCGUGAGUGAAGAAGGCCUUAGGGUUGUAAAGCUCUUUCAGCGAGGAAGAUAAUGACGGUACUCGCAAAAGAAGCCCCGGCUAACUCCGUGCCAGCAGCCGCGGUAAUACGGAGGGGGCUAGCGUUGUUCGGAAUUACUGGGCGUAAAGCGCGCGUAGGCGGUUUGCUAAGUUGGGCGUGAAAGCCCGGGGCUCAACCCCGGAACUGCGUUCAAAACUGGCAAACUAGAGGCCGGGAGAGGAGAGCGGAAUUCCCAGUGUAGAGGUGAAAUUCGUAGAUAUUGGGAAGAACACCAGUGGCGAAGGCGGCUCUCUGGCCCGGUUCUGACGCUGAGGCGCGAAAGCGUGGGGAGCGAACAGGAUUAGAUACCCUGGUAGUCCACGCCGUAAACGAUGAGUGCUAGACGUCGGGAGGCUUGCCUUUCGGUGUCGCAGCUAACGCAUUAAGCACUCGCC
rnacentral:rRNA from 1 species